rnacentral:misc_RNA from 1 species
UGGAUCCGUUUUGCUCCUGCUGACGAAGGUCAGGAAGGUCUGCAAUUCGUGAACGAAGUUGUAGGUGGUGUGGUUCCUAAGGAAUACAUCCCGGCUAUCCAGAAGGGUAUCGAAGAGCAGAUGAAGAACGGCGUUGUUGCCGGCUAUCCGCUGAUCGGCCUGAAGGCUACCGUGUUCGAUGGUUCUUACCACGACGUCGACUCCAACGAGAUGGCGUUUAAAGUGGCUGCCUCCAUGGCGACCAAGCAACUGGCCCAGAAGGGCGGUGGUGAGUUGCUUGAGCCGAUCAUGGCUGUAGAGGUUGUUACGCCUGAAGACUAUAUGGGUGAUGUGAUGGGCGACCUUAACCGUCGUCGCGGCAUGAUCCAGGGUAUGGAAGACACAGUGUCCGGCAAGGUUAUCCGUGCCGAGGUUCCACUGGGUGAGAUGUUCGGUUAUGCGACCGACGUUCGUUCCAUGUCCCAGGGUCGCGCAAGCUACUCUAUGGAAUUCAAAAAAUACGAUACGGCUCCGUCGCACAUCGUCGAAUCCGUAACCAAAAAACAAGGCUGAUUCAGCCCCUUUAGGCUAGGAGUUAAUUGUCGUGGCUAAAGAAAAAUUUGAUCGUUCCCUACCGCACGUCAACGUUGGCACCAUCGGUCACGUUGACCAUGGUAAAACCACUCUGACUGCUGCUCUGACUCGCGUUUGCUC